rnacentral:rRNA from 1 species
UACGUAGGGUGCGAGCGUUGUCCGGAAUUACUGGGCGUAAAGCGUGCGCAGGCGGUUUUGUAAGUUUGUCGUGAAAUCCCCGGGCUCAACCUGGGAAUUGCGAUGAAGACUGCAAGGCUAGAAUCUGGCAGAGGGGGGUAGAAUUCCACGUGUAGCAGUGAAAUGCGUAGAGAUGUGGAGGAACACCGAUGGCGAAGGCAGCCCCCUGGGUCAAGAUUGACGCUCAUGCACGAAAGCGUGGGGAGCAAACAGG